UACGUAGGGUGCAAGCGUUGUCCGGAAUUAUUGGGCGUAAAGAGCUCGUAGGCGGUCUGUCGCGUCUGCUGUGAAAACUCGGGGCUUAACCCCGGGCCUGCAGUGGGUACGGGCAGACUAGAGUGCGGUAGGGGAGACUGGAAUUCCUGGUGUAGCGGUGAAAUGCGCAGAUAUCAGGAGGAACACCGGUGGCGAAGGCGGCUCUCUGGACCGAUACUGGACGCU
rnacentral:rRNA from 1 species